rnacentral:rRNA from 1 species
UACGUAGGUGGCAAGCGUUUAUCCGGAAUUAUUGGGCGUAAAGCGCACGCAGGCGGUUUCUUAAGUCUGAUGUGAAAGCCCACGGCUCAACCGUGGAGGGUCAUUGGAAACUGGGGAACUUGAGUGCAGAAGAGAAAAGCGGAAUUCCACGUGUAGCGGUGAAAUGCGUAGAGAUGUGGAGGAACACCAGUGGCGAAGGCGGCUUUUUGGUCUGUAACUGAACGCUGAGGCGCGAAAGCGUGGGGAGCAAACAGG